UCCCUCUAGUUGUGAGGAUUGGGUACACAUGAUCAAAUGUCCCACAUUUUUAACACGAGUUUCAGUGGUUCCAUUUCUCUCUCUCUCUUUCUCUCUCUCUCUCUUACUGCAGGCGGGAAACUGAUAUUUGGGAACAAAACCCUCCCACCAAAAAACCGCAGAGACACCUGUCAGAAGGCGUCUCUCUUCUUCUUUCUUCUUUCCUUAAAUCCCCAACCCUAAUCCACUCGAACCAACAAAUACCCAGAUUUAGAGAGAGAGAGAGAGAGAUUUAGAGAGAGAAAGAGAGAGCAAAAGCGAGAAAGCUCCCCUCUUUUGCUCUCUCUCUCUCCAUGGCAUUUCCCCUCAAGCACCAAAACGACGACGCCUCGACGCCCCUCCGCUACCUAUCUCUGAACCACGUCUAUUCCGCCACCUCUCCUUGCGUCAGCGCCAGUGGGUCCUCCAACGUCAUGUCCAAGAAGGUCAAAGCUCGCAAGCUCGACGACUUCGACGAUGGCAAUGGCAGUGGCAAUGACGGCGAUCAGAACCUUCAGAAGCCCUCUCCCAAACCCUCAAUUGUCAAUGUCUACUCGCGCCGUGCCAAGCGGCCUCGCCAUUGCUCCUCAUUCUUCGAUGCUUUGCUUGCCCGGAACGAGCCGGCGGAGGUGAAGAUUGAGGAGGUUGAGAUUGAUGAUGUGGAUGGUGAAUUCGAGAGGGUUUCAGAGACGAAGAAGAAGAGGAAGCUCGGGUUUAACGAGUUACUUAAAUUGGGGGUUGAUUCUAGUAUUCUGUCUAAUUUGGAGGGGCCUCGAUUGAGGGAUUCCCGCAGCAAUCCGAAACUCGUGGGCAGUAAAAAAGGAGAGAAACUGCGCCUCAAGAAGCGGAAUUCUUCUGCUAACUGCGAGAAAAUUCUUUCGGAUUCUCCUUCUGUGAAGAAAUGGGUCGGGUUGAGUUUCAAUGAUGUGAAUCCCAAAACUUUUAUUGGAUUACAAUGCAAGGUCUAUUGGCCAUUGGAUGCUGAUUGGUAUUCGGGCCGCAUUGUGGGUUACAACUCUGACACUAAUAGACAUCAUAUUGAAUAUGAAGAUGCUGAUGAGGAAGAUUUGCUUCUAUCAAGCGAGAGACUCAAAUUUUAUAUCUCUCGAGAAGAAAUGGAAAGUUUGAAUUUGAGUUGCAGUCCCAAGAGUACAAACAGUGAUGUCUAUGAUUAUAAUGAGAUGGUUGUGUUGGCUGCGAGUUUGGAUGACUGCCAAGAACUAGAGCCUGGGGAUAUUAUAUGGGCCAAGCUUACUGGUUAUGCUAUGUGGCCAGCAAUUGUUGUGGAUGAAUCCCUUAUUGGUGAUCGUAAAGGCUUAAGCAAAACUUUGGGAGGAAAAUCAGUUCCAGUGCAGUUUUUCGGUACCCAUGACUUUGCAAGGAUUAAAGUGAAACAAGCAAUCUCAUUUCUCAAAGGGCUUCUUUCUUCAUUCCAUUUGAAGUGCAAGAAGCCUGGUUUCAUCAAAAGCUUGGAAGAAGCAAAAAUGUAUCUCAAUGAACAAAAGCUUCCAAGAACAAUGCUAAGGCUGCAAAAUGGAAUUAACAUUGAUGAACGUGAAAGCAUAAGUGGAGAGGAUGAAGUGAGUGCAGAUUCUGGUGAGGGAUGUUUUGAUGAUGCAGGGAUUCCGAGGACACUGGAUUACCUUGGAACUUCUCCCUUUGUGAUCGGAGAUUUACAGAUAAUAAACCUUGGAAAGAUUGUCAGGGACUCAGAAUGUUUUCAGGAUGAGAAGUACAUUUGGCCUGAAGGCUAUACUGCCUUGAGGAAGUUUACUUCAAUUACAGAUCCGAGUGUACUUGCCUUAUAUAAGAUGGAGGUGUUGAGAGAUACCGAAUCAAAUAUUCGACCUCUGUUCAAAGUGUCAUUAGAUACAGGAGAGCAGUUCAAAGGAUCUACACCAUCAGCUUGCUGGAAUAAAAUAUACAAAAGGAUAACGAAAGCACAAAACAAUUCAUUUGGUGGUUCUAAUGCUAAUGCUGAAGGCAGAUUAGAAGGGACCUAUAAAUCUGGUUCUCAUAUGUUUGGUUUCUCUAUACGGGAAGUUGCUAAACGUAUUCAGAGGUUAUCAAAAUCCAGGCUUUCUUCAAAAUUACCCAAGUGCAAGUUAGCCUCUAGGAGAUAUCGAGAUGCUCCUGUUGGUUACAGACCUGUUCGUGUGGACUGGAAGGACCUUGAUAAAUGCAGUGUUUGCCACAUGGAUGAGGAGUACGAAAACAACCUGUUCCUGCAGUGUGACAAAUGCAGAAUGAUGGUCCAUGCAAGAUGCUAUGGAGAAUUGGAACCUGUUGGUGGGGUACUAUGGUUAUGCAACUUAUGUCGGCCUGGGGCUCCUGAACCUCCACCCCCUUGCUACCUUUGUCCUGUAAUAGGGGGUGCAAUGAAGCCUACAACUGAUGGGCGCUGGGCUCAUCUGGCUUGUGCCAUAUGGAUACCAGAAACCUGCCUGUCUGAUGUUAAGAGAAUGGAGCCAAUUGAUGGGCUUAGUAGAAUCAACAAGGACCGUUGGAAGCUAUUAUGUAGUAUCUGUGGGGUUUCAUAUGGAGCCUGCAUUCAGUGUUCGAACCAUACGUGUUGUGUGGCAUAUCACCCACUUUGUGCACGAGCUGCUGGUCUAUGUGUUGAGCUUGAGGAUGAGGACAGACUACAUCUACUAUCUGUAGACGAUGAUGAAGUAGAGCAGUGCAUUCGUCUUCUUUCCUUCUGCAAGAAGCAUAGGCAGCCAACAAAUGACCGUUCAGCUGCUGAUAACUGUUUUAGCCGAACGGUGCGCCGAUGCUCAGAAUACAUUCCACCGUCCAAUCCAUCUGGUUGUGCUCGGACUGAGCCAUACAACUAUUUUUGUAGAAGAGGGAGAAAAGAACCUGAAGCCAUAGCUGCUGCAUCCUUAAAGCGUUUGUUUGUCGAAAACCAGCCUUACUUAGUUGGUGGUUACACCCAACACCAACUGUCAAGUAAUUCACAGCCUCCAAAUGGCUCUAGGUUCUGCUGUAGCCUUCAGAGGCUGAAAGCCUCCCAGCUUGAUGCUCCUAAUGACAUACUAUCUAUGUCUGAGAAGUAUAAAUACAUGAGGGACACCUUUCGAAAAAGACUAGCAUUUGGAAAAUCGGGAAUUCAUGGUUUUGGUAUCUUUGCAAAACACCCACAUAGAGCAGGGGACAUGGUGAUUGAGUACACGGGUGAACUUGUUAGACCUCCUGUAGCUGACAGGAGGGAGCAUUUCAUAUAUAAUUCAUUGGUGGGGGCUGGGACUUAUAUGUUCCGGAUUGAUGAUGAACGAGUCAUUGAUGCCACAAGAGCUGGAAGCAUUGCGCACCUUAUUAAUCACUCUUGUGAACCAAAUUGCUACUCAAGAGUCAUAAGUGUUAAUAACGAUGAGCAUAUAAUUAUAUUUGCAAAGAGAGACAUUAAACGAUGGGAAGAACUUACAUAUGAUUAUAGAUUCUUUUCAAUAGAUGAACAGCUAGCAUGUUAUUGUGGUUUCCCAAGAUGUCAGGGGGUGGUUAAUGAUGUUGAAUCCGAAGAGCGAGCAACCAAGCUUUGUGCCCCUCGCAGCGAGUUAAUAGAUUGGAGUGGUGAAUGAUAAAAAGAAAUGUCUUGUUGUAAAAUAUGUUCAUUCAAGAUCUCGAGGAGACGGAUUUCUCCCAACAAUCUGCUAUAACUGUCUAUUCUCUCAAGGCAGAUGGAGUCCCCGGUUCUCGUGUUUUUACAUGACAAAAAAAAAUAGCGAUUCAGCAUUUUUUUUUUUCGGAAGUUGAUCCCUCUUCUUGGUUCGGGGAUGUAAACUUGAAGAAGUCAUUGAGAUCCAUAGCAAAGCCAACGGGUCUACUGUGUUCUCCCAUUCAUGUACCGAAGGACACAUGUCCUUAUGUAAAUUCUAGUUUUUCUGGGACGUGGUUGAACGGUGAAGCUAGUGACCCCUUGGAUGAUCAGUUUCCACUGUGUAUGUAUGUGUUUCUAGGAUCAGUGCCAAUUUUAAUGCACUGAAAGCUUAUAAUACAAUUCUCUUCUGCCCAACUUUCUUACUUUCUGUUUAUUUCUACUGCCGGAAGGUAUCAAGGUUUGGUGAUUUCAAUUACCAUACUCAAAUCUCUUUUUAUUUGAAAAUCAAAUUGAUACUUUCUGUUCCUUUGAAUUACUCCCUCUGUAUGUGUGGUCGUGUGAGUGUGUGCGUGUUCUAUUUAUUACACUUGCAUUUUGAUGUCAGAAUGGCGUGUUUAGUUUUCAUGUCAUGCUUGCCGUUCUUCUUCGCUUUUUUGUGAAUGUGUUGUUAGUUUUUCUGGUGAUGAGGACAAUUAUGAUGUUUCUUGCCACUGCUUCUAUGGCUUUUGCUCGACUGUAUGUUUUCUCUCUUUAAUUUUUAGUCUUGACACCUUAGCAACAACUUGUCUAUAUUAGAUGAGGGACUUUCUGUUUUUGGCCUGCAAUGCAAUUUUCUUACUGUAAUUUUUUGUACUCAAUCUCUUACUAUAAUACUAUAAUACUUGCUGUGUUAGUUUACGUUUAACUACUUUUUUCAUUAAUAAAGUGGAAGCUAUGGGCAUGUACAACAAUAAAGAUAUACAUGGAACAGAUUCAACGCCCCGUGGCGCACUGGUCCAACAACAUAGUGUCAUGUGUUCAGUAGUCCAAUAGUCUUAAGGCUGCUUUUCAUGGAGCCUCAUGGGACUUGGCCGGGGAACGAGCUACUUGGACUUGAUCAGGGAUAUGAGUUCAGAAGGUUUAGCAAAUAAUUUCAAGGCGAAGAAAAGCAUCAUCGAACCGUUGCUAAAUAGUUUGUACAGAAUGUGAUGAUUCAUUUGUAAAAAUAUUACCCAAAACGGGGUUACGUUACGUUGUUCUAAUGUCUUUUCAUUAAUCUCCGUUACUCUGUUAGAAAAUGUGCAGAAAAGCUGGAAGUAGCAGUAUGAAUUUUGUUUGAGUUAUGCAUCUGAGGUUGUACUUGCUGUGUUAAUUUA